UACGUAGGGUGCAAGCGUUGUCCGGAAUUAUUGGGCGUAAAGAGCUCGUAGGCGGUCUGUCGCGUCGGAUGUGAAAAUCCAGGGCUCAACCCUGGACCUGCAUUCGAUACGGGCAGACUAGAGUUCGGUAGGGGAGACUGGAAUUCCUGGUGUAGCGGUGAAAUGCGCAGAUAUCAGGAGGAACACCGGUGGCGAAGGCGGGUCUCUGGGACGGUACUGACGCUGAGACGCGAAAGCGUGGGGAGCAAACAGG
rnacentral:rRNA from 1 species